AGUCCAUGAAUGGGGCAUAAAGUCAACAAGUCUUUGAGUCUCUCCCAUGAUUCAAAGAGCGACUCACCUUCUUCCUGCCAAAAAUUAUAAAUUUGGCUCCUUGUUU